AUUGAACGCUGGCGGCAGGCCUAACACAUGCAAGUCGAGCGAGAAAGGUCUUCGGACUGAGUACAGCGGCGGACGGGUGAGUAAAGCGUAGGAAUCUACCUGGUAGUGGGGGAUAACUUGGGGAAACUCAAACUAAUACCGCAUACGCCCUACGGGGAAAGCGGGGACCUUCGGGCCUCGCGCUAUCAGAUGAGCCUGCGUAGGAUUAGCUAGUUGGUGAGGUAAAGGCUCACCAAGGCGACGAUCCUUAGCUGGUCUGAGAGGAUGAUCAGCCACACUGGGACUGAGACACGGCCCAGACUCCUACGGGAGGCAGCAGUGGGGAAUAUUGCGCAAUGGGCGGAAGCCUGACGCAGCCAUGCCGCGUGUGUGAAGAAGGCCUUAGGGUUGUAAAGCACUUUCAAUUGGGAAGAAAGUUGGUCGUUAAUAGCGGCCAGCCCUGACAUUACCUUUAGAAGAAGGACCGGCUAACUCCGUGCCAGCAGCCGCGGUAAAGUC
rnacentral:rRNA from 1 species